ensembl:lncRNA
UCCGAAACGUACAUUCACAUACAGCUGGUGUAAGAAAAAGGAGCUACUUUUCAACUAGUCAAUGUAUAAGUAGUAUAAGCAUGGUACACAGAGGUAACCAGGGUACACAGAGGUAACUAGGGUACACAGAGGUAACUAGGGUACACAGAGGUAACUAGGGUAGACAGAGGUGUAUGUAUAAGUAGUCUACACAAAAAUGAGCUGUUGACAUGAUAGCAGAGGUAACCAGGGUACACAGAGGUAACUAGGGUACACAGAGGUAACCAGGGUACACAGAGGUAAGCAGGGUAGACAGAGGUAAGCAGGGUACACAGAGGUAACUAGGGUACACAGAGGUAACCAGGGUAGACAGAGGUAAGCAGGGUACACAGAGGUAACCAGGGUACACAGAGGUACAGGUAACCAGGGUACACAGAGGUAAGCAGGAUACACAGAGGUAACCAGGGUACACAGAGGUAACCAGGGUACACAGAGGUAACCAGGGUACACAGAGGUAACCAGGGUACACAGAGCAGAGGUAAGCAGGGUACACAGAGGUAAGCAUCGACCUGGAUGGCAGACAUUACGUCUCAUAUACCAGUCAGGAAUCGCUGUUCAGUCAGGAAUCGCUGUUCAGUCAGGAAUCGCUGUUCAGUCAGGAGUCGCUGUUCAGUCAGGAGUCGCUGUUCAGUCAGGAAUCGCUGUUCAGUCAGGAAUCGCUGUUCAGUCAGGAAUCGCUGUUCAGUCAGGAAUCGCUGUUCAGUCAGGAAUCGCUGUUCAGUCAGGAGUCGCUGUUCAGUCAGGAAUCGCUGUUCAGU